AUAAAGGACCAUUUGGUCGAUCAAUCAUUAGUGCAGCCUGUAGGCUUGCGAGAAAUUAUCCGCUUUAGGCGAUGGGCAUACUUACACAAUUUUAUCAUUUCAAAACUCAUGAGUUCUAAAAAGAACCUAUGUGGGUAAGGAAGAAUUUGGCCCUCCUUUUAGUGUCAAUCUAAUAAUGAUCAUUUGAUCAAUUGGGCAUAUUUAUACGGUUUUAUCCUUUUGAAGUAUGUGAGUCCCAAAAGGUACCUUUGAGGGUAAAGAAGACUCGACGAACUUAUGAGUCAUUGUUCUCAUAAAAUGAGAUUAUAACAUGUGACUCUCGAAAAAUAUUUGAUCGAAUUAGAUAUAAACCAAAGUUGAUUAAGGAAAACACUAGUUUGAUUAAUUUUGUGAUCAAUCCUCCGUGACCAAGCGGAUAAGCUUAUAGAUUCCUAUAAAAUGAGUAUUUUAUAGACAAAAAAAAAUCUCUAAAAUGAAUUUGAUAUGAACCAAACUCUAAAAUAUGAUUUCACCAAUAAAUUACUUUUUAUUGCAUUUCAAAAUUUUGUUUUCAAAAUUACUUUGUUGGGCUCUUACCAAAUAAUCCUCACUGAAGCAAUAUGUUUUUUUUGAUUCACCAUUGAUGUAGAUGAUGAAGGUAGCCAGCCAAGAGAGCGAGAUUAUUUGGGUCCCCAGGAGUCCAGGUAGAUGAGCUUGGACAUCGACUCCUCGGUGCGCCUGGCUCUCUCCACCGCUUCCUCCCCUCCUCUCCUCCACUGAUCAUUGGAAGAAGAAGACAUCCUCUUGGCCCGAGAGAACGGCGCCAUGCUGCGCUUGGCACGCCCGUGGAGGGACCUGAGCGCGUAGUUCCAUCGACACAGCCCCGCCUGAUCCUUGAGCGCCUCCACCGCCGCCACGCUCGCUGCGACGAUCAUCGAAGCCUUGCUUGCCGAAGCCAUAUGUAUCAGUCUACUACUCAAGAGUUUGAACCUGUGACGAGUUGCAAAUGUCACAGAAGCGGUCGACGGGGAAGGGAAACGCGAGUGUCCAUAUAAAGCCCCCGAGGAAGGGAAAACAGGGGAUGAGAUUGCCGCUGGUUUCGGCUCAUAGUUGUUUCCCAGAUACAAGGGGCGGCUUUUGCUUGUUUACAGAGAAGACUGUGACUGCAUUCGAAUCAGUGAGACGGAUGGUUUGGUAGGAGAAACCGUGUGGCUAAAAUAGAACAAAAGGCAAACGGAUCGGAGACCUGUGGGCGGCACCAGUAAACAGGGAAUCUAACGGUUGAUCAGCCAUCCUUGCUUGGCUUGGCGAUCCUGUCGAGAUGUGAGGAGACGCAGGCUGAACAGAGAAGAAGGAUUUGGUUCAUCUUUGAGCCAAACACAAAGAGACCUCUCUCUAAUUGGGACCCCAACAGCUCAAGUACAUGACUGUUCUCAGCGCCUCCUCCGACUGCAUCCCCUUCUCCGCCGCCGCUUGCCACCCUCUCCUACUCCUGUCGACGGAGGAAGAUGUCCUCUUGGCCUGAGACAACGACCCCAUGCUGCUCUUCGCCCGCUGCUGUAGGGAUCUGACGACGUAGUUCCACCGGCACAGCCCCGCCUGAUCCUUGAGCGCCUCCACCGCGCUCAUGCUCGCUGCCACCACCAAACAAGCCCUGCUUGUACAACCCAUCUCUUCAAUACCUCCCGAGUGAGUGCAAAGAGGAAGUAGCUUGUAGUUAUCUUCUCUCGAUCUGAUGCAGCAGUGGGAAGUUAUCUUCUCCCGAGUGAUUGCUUAUUGGCCUCCACUCGCUGAAGUCGACCCAGCGAAGUAGAUUGGCGGCGUGAGCGAACGCACGUACCUGGGUGAGAUUCUUCUGUCCUAUAUGCAUAAUAUGCGUUUGUAUACGAGGAAAAUAUCGUUUUGAUGGGUUAAAUAAUAAUUCAGUUAACUCA